rnacentral:rRNA from 1 species
CAGCCGCCACGGGAAUACGCAGGGGGCUAGCGUUGCUCGGAAUUACUGGGCGUAAAGGGAGCGUAGGCGGGUCGUUUAGUCAGAGGUGAAAUCCCGGGGCUCAACCUCGGAACUGCCUUCGAUACUGGCGACCUUGAGUAUGGGAGAGGUAAGCGGAACUCCGAGUGUAGAGGUGAAAUUCGUAGAUAUUCGGAAGAACACCAGUGGCGAAGGCGACUGACUGGACAAGUAUUGACGCUGAGGUGCGAAAGCGUGGGGAGCAAACAGGAUUAGAUACCCGCGUAGUCCCUGUCUCUUAUAC